rnacentral:tRNA from 1 species
GGGAGCGAUGGUCGGGCUGAAGAUUUUCGGCGGCUGCUAUCUGCUGUGGCUCGCGUUCAAGUCGGGGCGCUCGGCC